rnacentral:rRNA from 1 species
UACAGAGGGUGCGAGCGUUAAUCGGAAUUACUGGGCGUAAAGCGCGCGUAGGCGGCUUUGCAAGUCGGGUGUGAAAUCCCCAGGCUUAACCUGGGAACUGCAUUCGAGACUGCAUUGCUAGAGUAUGGGAGAGGGAAGUGGAAUUUCCGGUGUAGCGGUGAAAUGCGUAGAUAUGCGGAGGAACACCGAUGGCGAAGGCAGCCCCCCUGGGCCAAUACUGACGCUCAGGCACGAAAGCGUGGGGAGCAAACAGG